CAGCCCAUUCGUCCAUUUGACACCCAUAUACAUAGCAACCUCUCAUUAGCAAUGAAAGAAAGUGGGAAAGAAUUAACACUAAAUGGAGCUCGGUAAAGUUUUGCGAAGCAAUAAUUGGGAAGAUGUGGUGUUGAUCUAUCUUUAUUGAAAGACACUUAUUGCGAUAGCAAAAAUUAAAGCCAAAAUGAUAAAAGAAAUUGAAACGGAAGAGUCUUGGACAGUUGGGAAAAGGAAGCCACAAGAGGAGAGCUCAAACAAGAUAUUAAAUAUCGAGUACCAUUGUACCAACGAACCACACGACGAUCACGAUCCAGAUUGACAAUAAUUCCAAUGGUGAAACCAACCACUUUAGUUAGUCAUGUGGUGGCCAGAACUCUUAUAUUUCGAUUUCCAUUUUCAGUAAUAUCGAGCUUCAUCCCAUCUGUAUUGAUCAUACUUGCUCUUGAAUCUAUAGAUGGGCUUAGAGACCUAUGUAGUUUAAGUGUGGACUUCGAAUUUGGUUAUAAAUCUAUGAUUAUAUGAUUAUUAUUGUUGUUGAAUCUCUUGUAAUGAAUUGAAUGAUUUGAAACUAAUUCAAACGUGACAAAUUCUAAGCAAA